rnacentral:rRNA from 1 species
UACAGGAGUCCCAGCGUUGUUCGGAUUCACUGGGCGUAAAGGGUGCGUAGGUGGUGAGGUAAGUCGGAUGUGAAAGCUCCGAGCUCAACUCGGAAAUGGCAUUGGAAACUACCUUGCUAGAGGGUUUGAGGGGGGACUGGAAUACUUGGUGUAGCAGUGAAAUGCGUAGAUAUCAAGUAGAACACCAGUGGCGAAGGCGAGUCCCUGGAAAACUCCUGACACUGAGGCACGAAAGCUAGGGGAGCAAACAGG